GGGGAAUUUUGGGCAAUGGGCGAAAGCCUGACCCAGCAACGCCGCGUGAGGGAGGAAAUCCUUCGGGAUGUAAACCUCGCAAGCAAGGGAAGAAUGCUUAGAACCUAAUACGUUCUGAGAGGGACGGUACCUUGCGUAAGCCACGGCUAACUACGUGCCAGCAGCCGCGGUAAUACGUAGGUGGCAAGCGUUGUUCGGAAUUAUUGGGCGUAAAGGGCGCGUAGGCGGUUUGUUAAGUCGGUUGUGAAAGCCCGGGGCUCAACCCCGGAGAGUCGACCGAUACUGGCAGACUAGAGUACAGAAGAGGUAGCUGGAAUUCCUGGUGUAGCGGUGAAAUGCGUAGAUAUCAGGAGGAACACCUGAGGCGAAGGCGGGCUACUGGGCUGAUACUGACGCUGAUGCGCGAAAGCCAGGGGAGCAAAC
rnacentral:rRNA from 1 species